CGCGUAGGCGGGAUGGCAAGUCGGUCGUGAAAUCCCUCGGCUCAACUGAGGGGCGUCGAUCGAUACUGCCGUUCUUGAGGAUUGCAGAGGAGACUGGAAUUCCCGGUGUAGCGGUGAAAUGUGUAGAGAUCGGGAGGAACACCGGUGGCGAAGGCGGGUCUCUGGGCAAUUCCUGACGCUGAGGCGCGAAAGCGUGGGGAGCAAACGGGAUUAGAUACCCCGGUAGUCCACGCUGUAAACGAUGACGACUAGGUGUGGGGGGGUUCAGUCCCUUCCGUGCCGCAGCUAACGCAUUAAGUCGUCCGCCUGGGGAGUACGGCCGCAAGGUUGAA
rnacentral:rRNA from 1 species